CCUACGGGUGGCAGCAGUGAGGAAUAUUGGUCAAUGGACGCGAGUCUGAACCAGCCAAGUAGCGUGAAGGAUGACUGCCCUAUGGGUUGUAAACUUCUUUUAUAUGGGAAUAAAAUGUUCCACGUGUGGGAUUUUGUAUGUACCAUAUGAAUAAGGAUCGGCUAACUCCGUGCCAGCAGCCGCGGUAAUACGGAGGAUUCGAGCGUUAUCCGGAUUUAUUGGGUUUAAAGGGAGCGUAGGUGGAUUGUUAAGUCAGUUGUGAAAGUUUGCGGCUCAACCGUAAAAUUGCAGUUGAAACUGGCAGUCUUGAGUACAGUAGAGGUGGGCGGAAUUCGUGGUGUAGCGGUGAAAUGCUUAGAUAUCACGAAGAACUCCGAUUGCGAAGGCAGCUUACUGGACUGCAACUGACACUGAGGCUCGAAAGUGUUGGUAUCAAACAGGAUUAGAUACCCCUGUAGUC
rnacentral:rRNA from 1 species